rnacentral:rRNA from 1 species
AGAACGAACGCUGGCGGCAGGCCUCAUACAUGCAAGUCGAGCGGACGUAUUCUUUCGGGAGUACGUUAGCGGCGAACGGGUGAGUAACAGGUGGAUAACCUGCCUUCUGGUGGGGGAUAACGGCUGGAAACGGCCGCUAAUACCGCAUGUGGUUGCCGGUCCGCGGACCGGUAAAGAAAGGCGCCGCAAGGCGUCGCCAGAAGAUGGGUCCGCCCCCCAUUAGCUAGUUGGCGGGAUAACAGCCCACCAAGGCAACGAUGGGUAGCCGGACUGAGAGGUUGGCCGGCCACACUGGAACUGAGACACGGUCCAGACACCUACGGGUGGCAGCAGUAGGGAAUAUUGGACAAUGGGCGAAAGCCUGAUCCAGCCAUGCCGCGUGAACGACGAAGGCCUUCGGGUUGUAAAGUUCUUUUCUGAGGGAAGAAAAGCCUGAACAGGAAAUGGUUUGGGUUUGACGGUACCUCAGGAAUAAGGGACGGCUAACUCCGUG